rnacentral:rRNA from 1 species
UACGGAGGGUGCAAGCGUUAUCCGGAUUCACUGGGUUUAAAGGGUGCGUAGGAGGGCAGGUAAGUCAGUGGUGAAAUCUCCAAGCUUAACUUGGAACUGCCGUUGAUACUAUCUGUCUUGAAUAUUGUGGAGGUGAGCGGAAUAUGUCAUGUAGCGGUGAAAUGCUUAGAUAUGACAUAGAACACCUAUUGCGAAGGCAGCUUACUACGCAGAUAUUGACGCUCAUGCACGAAAAGCGUGGGGAUCAAACAGG